ensembl:lncRNA
CCCGACGAGAAGGACCGGUCCCCUUGAAAGAAGGAGCUCAAUAAUUCAAAGGGAGGAGAAUGAAAGAGCGAGAGGGAGUAAGAGAAAGUGAGAGAGCAAGAGGUUGUCAGUAAUGUGCAAUACAUGGCAGGUUGAUGGCUCGAUCGCCGGCAGGUUCAAGUUUGCCAAUCGCCGUCAGUUCAAUCUUGCGAGCGCACGGGGGAGUACAAGCCUUGUACACCGAAAAAGGUGAACGGGGAAUCGGCGCAGGCGCAGUGGGUGCAGCCGAAAUACAACUGUUUCUCCAACGCUGGUCCUGCCUGUUACCGAACCCUCGCCUGUCUGACCACCCGCCGGUUGUCUAGUCCCUCCCUGCCGGCCUGUCUGCUCCCCUGUUUCCGGCUCCUCGCCUGCCUGUCUGCCCUCCUGAUGUCGACCCCUCGCCUGCCCGACUACCCGCCCGCCGACGAGCCCUUGCCUGCCUGAUCGCCCGCCAGUGAUCGAGUCCCCCACCUGUCCGACUACCCGCCGGUCACGGUACCCCCAGUCUACCUGAUGGUCCCCGAACUCUUGCCUGUCCCCGUUUACUCUGCCUGCCCGAUCCUGA